rnacentral:rRNA from 1 species
GACGAACGCUGGCGGCGUGCUUAACACAUGCAAGUCGAACGGAAAGGCCCUGCUUUUGUGGGGUGCUCGAGUGGCGAACGGGUGAGUAACACGUGAGUAACCUGCCCUUGACUUUGGGAUAACUUCAGGAAACUGGGGCUAAUACCGGAUAGGAGCUCCUGCUGCAUGGUGGGGGUUGGAAAGUUUCGGCGGUUGGGGAUGGACUCGCGGCUUAUCAGCUUGUUGGUGGGGUAGUGGCUUACCAAGGCUUUGACGGGUAGCCGGCCUGAGAGGGUGACCGGCCACAUUGGGACUGAGAUACGGCCCAGACUCCUACGGGAGGCAGCAGUGGGGAUUAUUGCACAAUGGGCGGAAGCCUGAUGCAGCAACGCCGCGUGCGGGAUGACGGCCUUCGGGUUGUAAACCGCUUUCGCCUGCGACGAAGCGUGAGUGACGGUAAUGGGUAAAGAAGCACCGGCUAACUACGUG